GGGGAGAGUGAUAGACAAAGUUCUGGAUUCUGGGCAUCGUCGGCGCAUGCUUGUAAUCCUACUUGGGAGGUUGAGACAGGAGGAUCACUUGAGGCUAGGAGUUGGAGGCUGCAGUGUACUAUGUUCGCAUCUGUGAAUAGCCACUGCACUCUAGCCUGGACAAUAUAGUGAGAACCCAUCUCAAAAAAAAAAAAAAAAAAAAAAAGGCAAAGUUCUAGAUCCUAACUGGAAGAGUUAGGCCAAGAAGGAAGAAGAGGUUCUGGGAGCUGCUGGCUACUCCUCAUCCUCCUCACUAUCGAGAUACUUGUGGGUGGCGUAGCCCAUCAGGGCACCAAUAUUACCUAUGACGACGCUGCUGCCACCAGCCCCGAGGCUCUGCAGCGUGGCCACUAGCCCCCCGGCGGGCACGCCGCCCCCAUUCAGGAUCGCAGACCAGCUCAUCAGCGAGGCAGCCACCGAGUUGGCCGCGAUGCCGGCGCCGGUGAAGCCCAGCGCGGGCAGCCCGGCGACUGCGAGUCCUCCUCCGACGGCCAUGAAGGUCAGGGCCUUCCAGAACCCGGAGCCGCUGUCCGAGCUCUCCGAGCACUUUUUCUUACCUGCCUCCACCCCACUGCAAGUGAAGAGCAGCAGGUAGCACAAGAAAAGCGAUACCGCCUUCUGCCGCAUGGUGGCGCC
rnacentral:lncRNA from 1 species